CGUUGCUGUCGCUCCCCCGCCUCGUCGCCGGCCCUCCCCCGCCCCGUCGCCGACCCUCUCCCGCCACCCUAUCGCCGGCCCCGUCGCUCCCUCUACUGCAAGAGAUCCGGCCACCCCGACCCGUCCCUACAAGACCAGCGCCGCGGCUCCAUACCUCGCCGCCUCCAAGGAUGACGAGGAGGACGAGAUCCCUUUCCCACGUGCUAGGCCGCCCGUCACCAUCGGAAGUUCACAACAACGACGGAUGUACAUGUGGAUGAUCUACUCCUAGCAGCGCCCCUGUUCUGUAACAUCUUUUGACCCAUAUUGAGAGAGGUGUCCUUUAUUAUAGUACUCAACUGCAAUUCCAAGAAGCAGCAAUCUAAGGCAGGUGAGGAUGAAUGAAGGAUUUGGCCAGGAACUCAAUCAGACCAUUGGAUUGAAGCUGAAGGGGACAAUGCAAAGAUAUGAAGGGAUGGCCUUUUGUUCAGAACCUGGUCUUUUGUUUGAAAGGGUCUAGCUUUUACUGUGAACUAAUUAUCAUGAUCUUAUUUUGGAGUGAUGGAUUAUUACAGAUAUUAGUGGUCGAAUUCGGUGGCGUCGGAUGCUGGCAGGUCACGGGGUUAGAGCAAAGGAACUUGACGCGGUGUUCUAAACUCAGGCGGUCAUGGUCAUUGACCAGGUGUUGAAGGGCUUGGUGGCAAUUCUCACGGAGCGGUGGCAUCUUAUGGGAAGGGAGCGGAGAAAGGGGAAUGAGGUGUUGUCGAGUGGGCGGGGUCUUUCCGCAGUCGCCUUAAGUUCCACAUCUACACACCAGUCGCCAUGGCUUGGUAGGGCCAAAUCAAAGGUCCAAGGCUAUAGAUGAGCUCUUUUUUAUCGAUGUAUUUUUUCAGUUUAGAGUUUCAUUCAGUUUUGGUCGCCUAGGAGCUGUUUAAGCUGGGUUGAACAGAAAAUCACAAGUUUAUAGAAUCUAAUUUUAGUUUUUUUAAGUAAUCCAGAUGUGCGAAGAGGACAUUUUCUACCAUGUAUGGCUGACACAUGUUUUUACAAUGUGGAGUUUUAUUUAAUUUACUCCUUUUGGAUCACCUAUGCUGAAUAUUACUCCCUCCGUAAAGAAAUAUAACAAACGCUCUUAUAUUUCUUUACAGAGGGAGUACAAGAUUAAACUAGGAAGAGUUUAAGCCAGGCAAAACUAAAAUCGUAAUUCGCCAUAAUCUCUAUUCAGUUAAAUGACGAAGAGGACCCUCUUCGACCAUGUAAAUCAAACUCCAUAUUUACGCAUGUCAUACCUUCUUUGUAAUUUUUUUUACUUUUUUUACCAGUAUGUUUACUUACUUAUAGCCAUGGUACUGAUCAGUGUUUAUACUGUUAUGCACUAAUCAUGGUUGUUGUUACAUAACCACCUGUUUGGUUCUUGACAUACUGGUUCAUUUGUGUUCCGCUAAAAAGGCAAAAGUAUGAUUGUUAGACAUAACUAAAAUGAAUAGUGUUUGGUUCAUCCCAUCUAUUUCAGGUUACUUUGGAUACCACAUACACAGCAGCAGUAAUAGUUAGGGAGUGUGAUUCCAUCAAAAUCAGAUAACAGUCGCAUUGUACUUCAUAUUUGCUUCCACAACCUGAUCUGUAUUAAGUUCAUCCUAGCUAUUUCACAUUAGUUUCAGUACCGCAUACACAGCAGCUGUGAUAAGUAGGCAGUGUGAUUUCGUCCAAAUCAGACAAAAGACUGAUGGUACUUCAUAUAUGCUUCCAUAACCUGAUUUGAUAAAUACUAUAGUAUCAAGGGUGAGAGAAUGAAGUGAAGCUUCUCUGCUCAGACUCUGCGUGCUUCCUAAUAAACACCUGAGUAACCAAUUGGUGCAUAGCCAUAUCUGUUGAUCCCCUGUUUUCCUGGGGCCUAACAAAUAGUACAAGCAUGUAUAGUCUACAGUUUAAGCAAGCUCAAACCCCUGCUACUCUCAAUUCUUUUAUUACCUUUUGGCAGCUUCAGAAUUACCUAGCCAACACAUAUCAUUCAGUUACUAUCAGUGUUGUGUAUCUCACCAAAAAUUGAUAGACAUACAUACACAUAUAGAAUCAUACACUGCACUUACAGUACCCCGCAAAAAAAAUACACUGCACUUAUAGUGUCUUCCUCUUUGUUAUCAGUCAGCCGCGAUGAAAAAAGUCAGGAUCCCAAGAAAAGUGCUUCUAGACACUAUGAUGGAGAAGCUUGGCCUUCCGAACGUAGUAUACUCAACACAGAAGGCAAGGACUGUUGGUCUUGAACACAGAAGGCAAGGACUGUUGGUCUUGACGCAGAAAUUCAGUUCUAUCCACCUAAGCACCAACUAAACAACAGACUUCUAAGGAAAUUCAGUUCUAUUUUCCACACAAACAUGGUUUUAAACAGGUCUCUGCGCCAUUUGGCGCAGCUGGUCAUCUAGUAGGUUCAAAACUAGCUAGCCCGUGCAAGCGCAC